rnacentral:rRNA from 1 species
CAUGCAAGUCGAGCGAUGAAGUUCCUUCGGGAAUGGAUUAGCGGCGGACGGGUGAGUAACACGUGGGUAACCUGCCUCAUAGAGGGGAAUAGCCUUCCGAAAGGAAGAUUAAUACCGCAUAAUGUAGUACCUUCGCAUGAAGGAACUAUCAAAAGAGCAAUCUGCUAUGAGAUGGACCCGCGGCGCAUUAGCUAGUUGGUGAGGUAACGGCUCACCAAGGCGACGAUGCGUAGCCGACCUGAGAGGGUGAUCGGCCACAUUGGAACUGAGACACGGUCCAGACUCCUACGGGAGGCAGCAGUGGGGAAUAUUGCGCAAUGGGGGAAACCCUGACGCAGCAACGCCGCGUGAAUGAAGAAGGCCUUCGGGUUGUAAAGUUCUGUCUUAUGGGAAGAUAAUGACGGUACCAUAGGAGGAAGCCACGGCUAACUACGUGCCAGCAGCCGCGGUAAUACGUAGGUGGCAAGCGUUGUCCGGAUUUACUGGGCGUAAAGGAUGCGUAGGCGGAUAUUUAAGUGGGAUGUGAAAUACCUG